UCACACCUGCCGUGUGCGUAUGGGGCUUAUGUUUUGAACCUUACGUGUUAUAAGGGAAACAGAUCGGCGUUUCGUGCUGGCAUGCCCUCCUGAGAAGGGACGUCAAACACUCGAAACCACAGUUGCCCACCUGCGAGAGCAGGUUCGAAAACACGCGUCCUUUACGGCAUGCGCGGGUUUUAU
rnacentral:other from 1 species